GUGUCAGCAGCCGCGGUAAUACGUAAGGGGCAAGCGUUGUCCGGAAUCACUGGGCGUAAAGCGCACGUAGGCGGUUUAGCAAGUUAGGGGUGCAAGCUCCAGGCUUAACCUGGAAACUGCCUCUAAAACUACUUCACUUGAGUAUUAGAGGGGAAGCUGGAAUUCACGGUGUAGCGGUGAAAUGCGUAGAUAUCGUGGAGAACACCCGUGGCGAAGGCGGGCUUCUGGCUAAUAACUGACGCUGAGGUGCGAAAGCUAGGGGAGCGAACGGGAUUAGAUACCCCGGUAGUCC
rnacentral:rRNA from 1 species